GUACUUGAUAGGAUUUUCUUCAAUUUAACCUGUGUUUAUAGAAGAGAAACCAGCAGUCUGUUC
rnacentral:snoRNA from 1 species